ensembl:rRNA 5S_rRNA 5S ribosomal RNA
GUCUACCACCAUACCACUCUGAACGUGCCCGAUCUCAUCUGAUCUCGGAAGCUAAGCAGGGUCAGGUCUGGUUAAUACUUGGAUGGGAGACCCACUGGGAGUACCAGGUUCCAUAGGCU